UAAAAAAAGAGCAAAAAAAAAAGCGCUAACACAAUCCUUGAUAACGGAGUACGAAAUUGACAUGUGUGUCGGUAAGGUAAACAACAUUUGUUACAGUGCGGUAAAAUAUAUUGCAUCUGGAAUAUCUGAGUUACUUUUGUCAUUAUUUGUUAACUUUGUGUUAUAUAAAUUUUGUUCUUACACGGCAUACACAGACAUUUACUGUAACGCUUGUAUUGACUUGUAUGGACUAUUCGUUGUAUGUGAGUUACACAAGCACAGCACAUUACUUCAGUACAUGUUUGUUAUAUAUCCAUUCAUGCAUAGUAAGCUACGUAUUUAAAUAUUAAAUGAGUUCUGGGUAGAAACACGAACAGUUGUCGAACCCGGAAGUCGAUUAUAUAUACAAGCCGUGCUUUUCAGUUUCUUGCAAAUCCAGGGAUGAAUCCUACUCAGCAGAACAUCAUACCGACCGGUGCUCCAAAUCAAUUUCAAGCACUGUCUGAGAAUCAAAGUCUUCUUGCAAAUCCAGGGAUGAAUCCUACUCAGCAGAACAUCAUACCGACCGGUGCCCCAAAUCCAGUUCAAACACUGUCUGAGAAUCAAAGUUUUCCGGCAAAAGAACCGCUGAAUGGUCCACCUGACGUUCGCCAAAAUCAACUGUAAAGUUCUGCCCCAACUGCCAGUUCCUCCACCGCAAGUUGCUCAGCCUCUUCAGCCAUCUUCUCAGCCUCUUCAGCCAUCUUCUCAGCCUCUUCAGCCAUCUUUUCAGCCUCCACAGCCAGCUUCUUGGUCUCUGCAGCCAGCUUAAUACAAAACAUCAAUAAGUACAUUAUUCAAACAGCAAUCUUAAGAUACAUGAAAAUAUUGUAGACUUUAAUUUAGGUUUUCUUUUUAAAUAUUUUGUUUUUAAAGUUAAAACUUUCUUGU